GAUGAACGCUGGCGGCGUGCCUAACACAUGCAAGUCGAACGGAGUCCCGCCUUAGAGACCUUCGGGUCAAAGAGGGGAAGACUGAGUGGCGGACGGGUGAGUAACACGUGGGCAACCUGGCUCAUAGAGGGGGAUAACAGAGAGAAAUAUCUGCUAAUACCGCAUAAGCACACACUGCCGCAUGGCAGAGUGUGAAAAGAGAAUCGCUAUGAGAUGGACCCGCGUCUGAUUAGCCAGUUGGCAGGGUAAGAGCCUACCAAAGCGACGAUCAGUAGCCGAUGUGAGAGGAUGAACGGCCACAUUGGGACUGGGACACGGCCCAAACUCCUACGGGAGGCAGCAGUGGGGGAUAUUGCACAAUGGGGGGAACCCUGAUGCAGCGACGCCGCGUGAGUGAAGAAGUAUUUCGGUAUGUAAAGCUCUAUCAGCAGGGAAGAUAAUGACAGUACCUGAAUAAGAAGCCCCGGCUAACUACGUG
rnacentral:rRNA from 1 species